CUAAGUUUGAUGGCGACCGGCGCACGGGUGAGUAACACGUAUCCAACCUGCCGAUGACUCGGGGAUAGCCUUUCGAAAGAAAGAUUAAUACCCGAUGGCAUAGUUCUUCCGCAUGGUGGAACUAUUAAAGAAUUUCGGUCAUCGAUGGGGAUGCGUUCCAUUAGGUUGUUGGCGGGGUAACGGCCCACCUAGCCUUCGAUGGAUAGGGGUUCUGAGAGGAAGGUCCCCCACAUUGGAACUGAGACACGGUCCAAACUCCUACGGGAGGCAGCAUG
rnacentral:rRNA from 1 species